UGGAAAAAGGGUAUCACAUCAAUCCAUAAGCAUCAUUAUUUUCAAUUUUUGUAUACUGUAGUGACCAUGGUUUAGUCCUAGCAGGAUGGAUGCAUUUCUCUCCCACGGCAGCAGGCUGUGGCUGUGACACCAACUGCAGGCAGCCAAUGGGACCAGUGGCUGUGCCCAGCCUGGGGCUCACCUAAAGAGCCUCAGAAACUACUGAAUGUGGCACAAGAAAUUGCUGCACAUGACAGAUCACAGGUAUGAAGAUAUCUGGGAACAACAAGAUUUUGGCUCAGAAUAAGGAUCCCACUUCAACAUAACCCUCUUCACAAUCCCAUGCUUGGACUGAUCAUGUUCCUGGGGAAGGAGGGCACAGCUUCAUUAACCCAGCAAAGAUGCACCCAGUUGCCUCAGGAGUUAAUCUGGCAGCUUCACUGCAGGGGACUGGCUCAGAAGCUUCUUCAGCUGUGUACAUGGGCACAGCACCUCCCUGGGCCCUGGGCUCCCCCUUAGAAGGUUCUUUCACAGCUACCACAGAAGACAGUGUCAUGUGCCACUUACUACAGCAUGUACCAUUUAGCUCUGGAGAGAUGCACUAAGGGCUCACCUGAGGAAUGAGAGCUCAGGUAAGACGUUGACUGACAGAUGUGGAUGCCAGUACUGCUCAGUGGUCAGAUACAUUCAGCAGAGUGAAGCUGCCAACUUUCUAAAUAUAAGGAAAAGAACUAUGUCCUGACAUGGUCAUUCUCAAAUUCAACUCCUCCCAGAAGGAUGGAGUAAAAAUAGCAAGCUUUGCAGCAAUUUACCUUAAAAUGGCAAAGUUGAGUAAAAAAAAAGAGCAGCUAGCACAGUCCACUGAGAGUCUGCUUAAAGGUACAAUAAAGGUCCAGUGUAAAUAUAUACCAUUAAACACUCUCCUUAAAUAUUAAAAGUAGUUAUCCUGUCAAAGGGGCAGAGAACAUGGUUUUCAGAGAAAAAAGGCACCCUUGGGAAAGUAAAUCAUAUCCAGUGGAGAAAAGUAGAUAAGAACUGACUUGGAGAAGUUAACUAAAACCACCAUAAAUAGGCCAACAACAUUUUGAAAAGUGACUUACUAACCAUAGAAACCUAAUAACUGCAUUCAGUUACCUCAGACUAGAUGACUACCAGUGAACUGGUGGUGCCAACACAUGAAAGAGGUGCAAAUGGAGCAGUUCUGGAUUGCAGGAAACCUUUGCAUUGACCUCAGUACCACAGGAAUGGAAAAAUAUGAAAAUAAGUGAGACAGGCUCAGAGGUGACCCUGAGACCUAGGGUCUGCUAAACCUGACUGUUGCAGCAAACAAACUGGUAGAAGUUGUAAUAACUAAGACUCAAAUUAGUCAACAUAGGAAAAAUAUGUCCCUCAGAGAAUGUUCUCUUUCCUGGAGAAACCCCAGACAGUCCAGUUCAAUGUGCACCCUCUGAGACACAACUGUGUACUGCUACCUUACUGCAUGAUGUCACUGUGUUAGAGUCAUCAGAAUCUAUUGCAAUUAUAACUAAUAUUACAGGGCUUUGAUUUUUUUGUUGGAUGGAACAGAAUUCUCUGUACAUCUGACUUCUUUUGAAAGCUGCAAGCCAAAUCUCAUCUGCAUGAAUUAGACUGUGAAAAUGUUCUGCUGGAGCUG